rnacentral:rRNA from 1 species
GCGGGGGGAGCAAGCGUUGUUCGGAUUUACUGGGCGUAAAGGGCGCGUAGGCGGCCACCGCAAGUCGACUGUGAAAUCUCCGGGCUUAACCCGGAAAGGUCAGCCGAUACUACUGUGCUGGAGGUUUGGAGGGGGGACUGGAAUUCUUGGUGUAGCAGUGAAAUGCGUAGAUAUCAAGAGGAACACCAGUGGCGAAGGCGAGUCCCUGGACAACACCUGACACUGAGGCACGAAAGCUAGGGGAGCAAACAGGA